AGUGAACGCUGGCGGUAGGCCUAACACAUGCAAGUCGAACGGCAGCACAGUAAGAGCUUGCUCUUACGGGUGGCGAGUGGCGGACGGGUGAGGAAUAUAUCGGAAUCUACUUUUUCGUGGGGGAUAACGUAGGGAAACUUACGCCAAUACCGCAUACGACCUACGGGUGAAAGCAGGGGAUCUUCGGACCUUGCGCGAGUGAAUGAGCCGAUGUCGGAUUAGCUAGUUGGCGGGGUAAAGGCCCACCAAGGCGACGAUCCGUAGCUGGUCUGAGAGGAUGAUCAGUCACACUGGAACUGAGACACGGUCCAGACUCCUACGGGAGGCAGCAGUGGGGAAUAUUGGACAAUGGGCGCAAGCCUGAUCCAGCCAUACCGCGUGGGUGAAGAAGGCCUUCGGGUUGUAAAGCCCUUUUGUUGGGAAGGAAAAGCAGCAGGUUAAUACCCCGCUGUUCUGACGGUACCCAAAGAAUAAGCACCGGCUAACUUCGUG
rnacentral:rRNA from 1 species